CAAUAGCGUAUAUUAAAGUUGUUGCGGUUAAAAGCUCGUAGUUGGAUUUCUGCCGAGGACGACCGGUCCGCCCUCUGGGUGAGUAUCUGGCUCGGCCUGGGCAUCUUCUUGGAGAACGUAUCUGCACUUGACUGUGUGGUGCGGUAUCCAGGACUUUUACUUUGAGGAAAUUAGAGUGUUUCAAGCAGGCAUACGCCUUGAAUACAUUAGCAUGGAAUAAUAAGAUAGGACCUCGGUUCUAUUUUGUUGGUUGUUCGAGAACCGAAGUAAUGAUUGAUAGGGACAGUUGGGGGCAUCGAGUAUUCUGAAGCGAGAGGUGAAAUUGCUUGGAAUUUAC
rnacentral:rRNA from 1 species